rnacentral:rRNA from 1 species
GACGAACGCUGGCGGCGUGCCUAAUACAUGCAAGUCGAACGGUUUAGUUCCAAGAGGCUUGCCUUUUGGAACUAGACAGUGGCGGACGGGUGAGUAACACGUAGGCAACCUACCUGUCAAACCGGGAUAACCCCGGGAAACCGAAGCUAAACCCGGAUAAGCUCCUUUUUCGCAUGAAGGGGGAGUGAAAAGGUGCGACCUGAUGACAGAUGGGCCUGCGGCGCAUUAGCUAGUAGGUAGGGUAACGGCCUACCUAGGCGAUGAUGCGUAGCCGACCUGAGAGGGCGUACGGCCACACUGGGACUGAGAUACGGCCCAGACUCCUACGGGAGGCAGCAGUAGGGAAUCUUCGGCACUGGGCGAAAGCCUGACCGAGCCACGCCGCGUGAGUGAGGUAGGCCUUCGGGUUGUAAAUCUCUGUUGUUUGGGAAGAAGGGAAAGGGUAGGACCCUUAGGUGACGGUACCAAACGAGAAAGCCCCGGCUAACUACGUG